UAGGAUUUCAGGUACUUUUAGAAUCAAACCUGGAAAGGAUACAAAAAGCAGAAGCAAGACCAGCAUUUGGGAGAACAGAUUAUGACAGUACCUUAUAUUGAAACAUCACUUCUCAUUUGCUGUUUGGACAAUGGUGAUGGAACUGCUGCUUUAUUGCCCACGGAGAAACGAAGCGAAGAGUCUAAAGUGGGUCUUGCAGUUACACUGGACAAAAGAAGUUUGAAACUGAGGCUUGGUCCUGAAGAACACAUAGCGAAG
rnacentral:lncRNA from 10 species